UUGGUCCAGAUAGACCCUGUGCACGUCUGCAGUGACGGUUGAGUCUAAAAUGUCAUGCACUGGCACGCAAGAUUACUCCUCAGCCCUACCAGUCAACCAAAUACAUUGUGCCUCUGGAUCAUUUGGAGUCCAGCAGAACCUGGACAGAAUGUGCUGGGGAACCAUCUAUGUCCAAAGGUGGAGGAGCUGAGACUGACGGACUCUGCAGGGUGACUGAAGACUGAGUUUCACCUUUCAUUCCAUAACCUGAAAUGACUUUAAGGGGACUUGGGAAAGUUUUACCUCCGGGUUUUUCCAUUCUUUUAUUAUUUUGCAUUUUUCUAUAUGCAUUUUUAUGGCAGCAGCUGGGGACACAUGCUGUUAGAAAGUUUUUCCACCCGAAUGUAGUGACAACUUACUUCACUUCACCUGAGAGUAAUGACCAACAGAUGAAUGACAAAUUGAGCUUGUUUUCGUGGAGACACGGCGUCAAACCAACCCCAGGUAUGAUGCUGAACAUGCCC